AAGGAAGACACUCUGAGUCUAUGGCAGUGC
rnacentral:piRNA from 1 species